rnacentral:rRNA from 1 species
GACGAACGCUGGCGGCGUGCUUAACACAUGCAAGUCGAACGGAAAGGCCCUGCUUUUGUGGGGUGCUGGAGUGGAGAACGGGGGAGUAACACGUGAGUAACCUGCCCUUUACUUUGGGAUAACUUCAGUAAACUGGGGCUAAUAUCGGAUAUGAGCACCUGAUGCACGGUGUGUGUUGGAAAGUUUCGGCGUUUUGGGAUGGAGAGGCGGUUAAGCAGCGUGUUGGUUGGGUGGUGGGUUACCAAGGCUUGGAGGGGUAGCCAGCCUGAGAGGGUGACCGGCCACAUUGGGACAGAGAAACGGGCAGGACUGAUACGGGAGGAAGCAGUGGGGAAUAGAGCAAGAUGGGCGGCAGCCUGAUGCAGCGACUUCGCGUGCUGGAUGACGGCUUGCGGGGUGUAACCCGCGUUCGACUGUGAAGAAGAGUGAGUGACGGUAAUGGGUAAGGAAGCAACGGCUAACUACGUG